CUACGGGGUGCAGCAGUCGAGAAUCAUUCGCAAUGGGGGAAACCCUGACGAUGCGACGCCGUGUGAACGAAGAAGGCCUUCGGGUUGUAAAGUUCUUUCGCGAGGGAACAAGAGAAUUAUGUAAAUAAUGUAAUGAUCAGAGGGUACCUCGUAAAGAAGCACCGGCUAACUCCGUGCCAGCAGCUGCGGUAAUACGGAGGGUGCAAGCAUUAAUCGGAUUUACUGGGCGUAAAGGGCGCGUAGGCGGCUUAUUAAGUCUGAUGUGAAAUUCCAUCGCUUACCUAUGGAGCUGCAUGAGAACUGAUAGGCUUGAGGUUGUCCGGAGGAAAUGGAAUUCCACAAGUAGCGGUGAAAUGCGUAGAUAUGUGGAAGAACACCGGAGGCGAAAGCGGUUUUCUAGGAUAAACCUGACGCUGAGGCGCGAAAGCAAGGGGAGCAAACAGGAUUAGAUACCCCCGUAGUC
rnacentral:rRNA from 1 species